CUAGCCUUGACAUAUAUUAGAACACUUUAGAGAUAGAGUGGUGCCUUCGGGAGCUUUUAUACAGGUGCUGCACGGCUGUCGUCAGCUCGUGUCGUGAGAUGUUGGGUUAAGUCCCGCAACGAGCGCAACCCUCGUCACUAGUUACUAACGGUUCGGCCGAGGACUCUAGUGAGACUGCCUUCGCAAGGAGGAGGAAGGUGAGGACGACGUCAAGUCAUCAUGGCCCUUACGGCUAGGGCAACACACGUGCUACAAUGGCCAGGACAAUGAGAGGCAAUACCGCGAGGUGGAGCAAAUCUAUAAACCUGGUCUCAGUUCGGAUUGUAGUCUGCAACUCGACUACAUGAAGCUGGAAUCACUAGUAAUCGUAGAUCAGCUAUGCUACGGUGAAUACGUUCCC
rnacentral:rRNA from 1 species